ACGACUCUCGGCAACGGAUAUCUAGGCUCUCGCAUCGAUGAAGAACGUAGCAAACUGCGAUACUUGGUGUGAAUUGCAGAAUCCCGUGAACCAUCGAGUUUUUGAACGCAAGUUGCGCCCGAAGCCACUAGGCCGAGGGCACGUCUGCCUGGGCGUCACG
rnacentral:rRNA from 1 species